UCCCGCGGCUGUCGCCUCGGAAGGACCCGGCUCGCAGGCCCGCGCAGUGGCCGCAGCGCGGAGCCCGGAGGCGCCCGCUCGCUCCCCGGUCCGACCGGUCGGCCGGCGCCCGCCGCGGUGAGAGAGGCUCCCGCCAGCGCCUGCGAGGGGGAGACGCGUCAGCUGUCCGGGCGGCGCGGGGCUCUCCGAGGGCCGGCGGAUGCCUUAGGGCGCGAGAGCCGCCCCAGAGGACGCCUGGUGGCCAGCAGCGCCCGAGCAGCUCGUGUGCGUGGCCUCCAGCUCCCACUGACGCCCCCGGGAACGCGGUCCGCCUGGAAUCCCCCCCAAACCAUGGAGGCCCCGGAGGUGCCCGUGGGCGCCCUGCUUGACUUCGGGACUGAGCCAGCUGCGCCCUCUCCCCUGGAGGCGUUGCCUCCGAAGCUGCAGGAUGGGGACAGCUCGCAGGGCGACGGGGCUUCGGAGAGCGAGACCACGGAGUCCGCGGACAGCGAGAAUGACAUGGGCGAGUUGCCCUCACACCCGUCCUGGGACCAGUACCGCCGCUCCUCCUCCAACGAGUCCUUCUCUUCCAACCAGAGCGCCGAGUCGGCCGAGGACGAGGAGACCCAGGAGCUCCGGGAAUUCAUGCGCGGCUACGUGGACAAGAUCUUCUCUGGAGGGGAGGACUUGGACCAGGAGGAGAAAGCCAAGUUUGGGGAGUACUGUAGCAGUGAGAACGGAAAAGGCCGGGAGUGGUUUGCUCGAUACGUGAGCGCCCAGCGCUGCAAUUCCAAGUGCGUCUCAGAGGCGACCUUCUACCGCCUGGUGCAGUCUUUCGCCGUCGUCCUGUUCGAGUGCCACCAGAUGGACGACUUCGGGCCUGCCAAGAACCUCAUGACCAUGUGCUUCACCUACUACCACAUCGGCAAGCCGCAGCUGCUGCCCCCCGAGUCCAAGGAGAAACCCGCGGGGAGCAUCGACUCCUACCUCAAGUCCGCCAACAGCUGGCUAGCAGAGAAGAAGGACAUCGCCGAGCGGCUGCUGAAGAACACGUCGGCCAAGACGGAGAACGUCAAGGGCUUCUUCGGGGGGCUGGAGACCAAGCUGAAGGGACCCCUGGUCAGGAAACCAGAGGAGGAGGAGAGCAAGCCCAAGGAGAAGCCGCAGAAGACCGUGACCGUGUGCAGCCCGGAGGAAGAGAGGAAGGGGGAAAAGAUCUACCUGUACACGCACCUGAAGCAGCAGCCCAUCUGGCACACGCUGAGGUUCUGGAACGCGGCUUUCUUUGAUGCUGUGCACUGUGAGAGGAGAAAACGGUCUCCCACCACCAGAGGGGAUGCUGGAGAGGAGGAGAAGAAGAGGGAGAAGUGGUGCCACAUGACCCAGGAGGAGAGAAACGACAGCCUGCGCUUCAACGAGAACAUCACCUUCGGGCAGCUGGGCACGUUCACUCACAACAUGCUGGCGUUCGGACUGAACCAAAAGCUGUGCAGCGACUUCCUGAAGAAGCAGGCGGUGAUCGGCAAUCUGGACGAGGCGCCAAAGACCAAGAUGUAACCUGGCGCUCGGACUCUGAACUUGACCGUGGCCAAGCUCCGACCCUGAGUUGCCUCCCCUAAGCGGCCACCGUAUGCCCGGUUUUGUUUCUUGAGCCACACUGCCAUGAGAGAGCAGUACAAGCUGCUGAGCGACCACAUCGAGCAGAUGACCGCUGAGUAGGCCACGGGAGGUCGCCCGAGGCACCCCCCCAGGAGGACUGAGGGUACCCGCCACUCUCCUGGGCCAGCGACUGGCUGUCACCCCACCCGAUGACCCUGCAUGACAUCAGCAGCACCCAGAGCCACUCCACGCUGCUCUAGAACUGGCAGUUAGAAGAACCUGGCCUCCCCACCCACCCUCUGCCUUGAAUGCUCCCCCCAUCCACAUGCCAAAGCGUCCCUGGGGUUACAUGGCUAAAACCAAGGUGACUGUCCGUACUCCUGAGUGUCAGGCCUGUGACAUAGGACCAAGCGGACGAGCAGGAGAGAGAGAGAGGGUGGGGUGCACACGCGGAUGCAGAGAAGGACCUCACGAGCUGGCCAGUGACCCCGGGCAGUCACUGGCGACCAUCUGGGAGCCUUUUCUUCAGCAGUGGGACGGAGUAGGGGGUGCUCCCACAGUGGGGGGGCCGAGGGGGCCGUGGGUCUCUCAGGGCGGGCCAGGUGGGUCCGGGGCUCCCGCCGCCUCUCUGUCGGGUCCCCACCAUGUGACGGGAACUGGAGUCACAGGCAGCUCCAGGAGGAAAGAGACCCUUCCUGUUUUAGGGAGGGAGGGAGGGAGAGCGGCGCCAGGACCUUCUUCCCUGGCUGCGGGAGGCCCGGUCAGGGCUGUGGGCACCCUGGGGACCUCGCAGGCUCUGCGCGGCUGUGUUAGAGCCACACCAGCACGGACGUGUCUGCAGCGUGCCUGCUCGGCCGACGGCUUCCUUCUGAAGCAGAGAAGGUUCUGCCGCUCGCUCCCUGGGGGAAGCAUGGGCUCUGUGUCCCGUGAAGAGACCCAGAAAAGAGAGGUUUCUCUGGCGGCCGCGAGACCACCACGCUCUCCGAAAGCAGACAAAGAUGAUGGAGAAAUCUGUGCCAGCGUUACCGACAGCCGGGCAGAGGCGGCUUCUGGUGGCAGGUGUGAGGCUCCUUAGCUCGCACGCCGUGUGACCUCUUUCCUGCAGACUCUGCAGCCGCCCCCUCGUCUCCCAUCUGGUGUCCGGGAACCACGGCUCUUCUCCCCGGGUUUGUGCCAGGCACAGCGGGGGAAUGACUGACCCCUGCGAGGGGUGACCCGCGAGGGCUGACCCCUGAUGGCAGGACUGACCCCUGAUGGCAGGCGUCCCGCGAGGACUGACCCCUGAUGGCAGGCGUCCGGCCUGCGGCUCCCCCGGCGUGAAAGUGGCCAUCAGUCUGGAUCCCUCUGCCUCCGCCCGCCCCUCUUGGGCACUGACCACUUUGAAGUGGGCCUGGCGGGCUCUCUCCUUUCCCCACGUCCUCCCCUCCUGUGUCCCCCCCCCCCACCUCCUCAACUCUCGGCCAUUACCUUACGGUCUCCUCUCAAGCGCAGCAAACACAUGCCUUGUAGUCACCCACCCGGCCAGUGCCGGAACGCUUUCCCUCGUGGGAUGCCUCCUUGGAAUGUUCCAGAGACGAGCACGCGUCGUCUGAGCUGUAGCACGCGCAUCUUGGGGAUGACGGGAGAGGCGAUGGGAGGCUUGGUAUGAUCUGAGCAUCGUUGCCAGCCAAAGACCGGGUCCCGAAACUCAGUUCGUUUUUAUGAUG